rnacentral:rRNA from 1 species
UACGUAGGGUGCAAGCGUUAAUCGGAAUUACUGGGCGUAAAGGGCCCGUAGGCGGCCAACUAAGUCGGAUGUGAAAUCCCCAGGCUUAACCUGGGAACUGCAUCCGAUACUGGAUGGCUUGAAUUCGGGAGAGGGAUGCAGAAUUCCAGGUGUAGCGGUGAAAUGCGUAGAUAUCUGGAGGAAUACCGGUGGCGAAGGCGGCAUCCUGGACCGACAUUGACGCUGAACGGCGAAAGCUAGGGGAGCAAACGGG